UACGGAGGGGGCUAGCGUUGUUCGGAAUUACUGGGCGUAAAGGGCACGUAGGCUGGCUGUUAAGUCGGUGGUGAAAUCCCGAGGCUCAACCUCGGAAUUGCCUUCGAUACUGACGGUCUUGAGUGCGGGAGAGGUGAGUGGAAUUCCCAGUGUAGAGGUGAAAUUCGUAGAUAUUGGGAAGAACACCAGUGGCGAAGGCGGCUCACUGGCCCGCAACUGACGCUGAGGUGCGAAAGCGUGGGGAGCAAACAGGAUUAGAAACCCUGUAGUCC
rnacentral:rRNA from 1 species